ACUCCUACGGGAGGCAGCAGUGGGGAAUUUUGGACAAUGGGCGAAAGCCUGAUCCAGCAAUGCCGCGUGAGUGAAGAAGGCCUUCGGGUUGUAAAGCUCUUUUGUCAGGGAAGAAACGGUGAGAGCUAAUAUCUCUUGCUAAUGACGGUACAUGAAGAAUAAGCACCGGCUAACUACGUGCCAGCAGCCGCGGUAAUACGUAGGGUGCAAGCGUUAAUCGGAAUUACUGGGCGUAAAGCGUGCGCAGGCGGUUUUGUAAGUCUGAUGUGAAAUCCCCGGGCUCAACCUGGGAAUUGCAUUGGAGACUGCAAGGCUAGAAUCUGGCAGAGGGGGGUAGAAUUCCACGUGUAGCAGUGAAAUGCGUAGAUAUGUGGAGGAACACCGAUGGCGAAGGCAGCCCCCUGGGUCAAGAUUGACGCUCAUGCACGAAAGCGUGGGGAGCAAACAGGAUUAGAUACCCUGGUAGUCCCAU
rnacentral:rRNA from 1 species